UGACGUUCUAGUAGGGCUGUCUCCGGAGCCUCUCCCCGGCCGGUGGGCUGUCCUGCCCUGGGCAAGGCAGGAAGGCUGUGGCUUCUUCCCUAGCUAGGGUAGGUCUGCUGGUAUGCACCUGAUGACAAGGCCAGAAAACUCCACUGAGAACACAGAAAGAUAAGAUUGCCAUUUUAUGUGGUCAAAGAACUCAACAAUCAUGUUUUUGGCAAGUGGAGUUACAACAUAAUACGUAAACUUUGCAGAAACUUUUUCUGUUUGUCCAACUUCUGUCACAGGAUUUCAGAACCUCCUUCAGAAGAAAUUGCCAUAUUCCAUACCAUGGGGGUACCAGCAUACAGAUUUUACACAGCGCUUCCAUCACUGAUGAUCACAUCUAGACAAUAAAAGGAGGGAAUCUUUUGCCUCUCACA